rnacentral:rRNA from 1 species
CCUACGGGUGGCUGCAGUGAGGAAUAUUGGUCAAUGGGCGCGAGCCUGAACCAGCCAAGUCGCGUGAGGGAAGACGGCCCUACGGGUUGUAAACCUCUUUUGCCGGGGAGCAACGGGCGCCACGUGUGGCGCCACUGAGAGUACCCGGAGAAAAAGCAUCGGCUAACUCCGUGCCAGCAGCCGCGGUAAUACGGAGGAUGCGAGCGUUAUCCGGAUUUAUUGGGUUUAAAGGGUGCGUAGGCGGAGCGUUAAGUCAGUGGUCAAAUUGAGGGGCUCAACCCCUUCCCGCCAUUGAAACUGGCGCCUUUGAGGGGAAGAGAAGUAUGCGGAAUGCGUGGUGGAGCGGUGAAAGGGAUAGAAAACACGGAGAAACCCG